CCUACGGGAGGCAGCAGUGAGGAAUAUUGGUCAAUGGUCGGGAGCCUGAACCAGCCAAGCCGCGUGAGGGAUGAAGGUACAGAGUAUCGUAAACCUCUUUUGUAAGGGAACAAAGGCGGGGACGUGUCCCCGGAUGAGUGUACCUGAAGAACAAGCAUCGGCUCACUCCGUGCCAGCAGCCGCGGUAAUACGGAGGAUGCGAGCGUUAUCCGGAUUUAUUGGGUUUAAGGGGUGCGCAGGCGGUGUGUUAAGUCAGAGGUCAAAGCCCGGGGCCCAACCCCGGCCCGACGUUGAAACUGGCAGUCUCGAGUGGGAGAGAAGUAAGCGGAAUGCGCGGUGUAGCGGUGAAAUGCAUAGAUAUCGCGAGGAACUCCGAUUGCGAAGGCAGCAUGCCGGCUCCACACUGACGCUGAGGCACGAAAGCGUGGGUAGCGAACAGGAGUAGAUACCCCAGUAGUC
rnacentral:rRNA from 1 species